rnacentral:rRNA from 1 species
GACGAACGCUGGCGGCGUGCCUAACACAUGCAAGUCGAGCGAUGAAAUCCCUUCGGGGAUGGAUUAGCGGCGGACGGGUGAGUAACACGUGGGUAACCUGCCUCAAAGUGGGGGAUAGCCUUCCGAAAGGAAGAUUAAUACCGCAUAAUAUUAGAUUUUCGCAUGAAGAACUAAUUAAAGGAGUAAUUCGCUUUGAGAUGGACCCGCGGCGCAUUAGCUAGUUGGUGAGGUAAUGGCUCACCAAGGCGACGAUGCGUAGCCGACCCGAGAGGGUGGUCGGCCACAUUGGAACUGAGAGACGGUCCAGACUCUUACGGGAGGCAGCAGUGGGGAAUAUUGCACAAUGGGGGAAACCCUGAUGCAGCAACGCCGCGUGAGUGAUGAAGGUCUUCGGAUUGUAAAGCUCUGUCUUUUGGGACGAUAAUGACGGUACCAAAGGAGGAAGCCACGGCUAACUACGUGCCAGCCGCCGCAGUAAGAC